GAGCUACUCCCUCCGUUCGAAAAUACUUGUCCUGGAAUGGAUAUAUCUGGAUGUAUUUUAGUUCUAGAUACAUUCAUUUUUAUAUAUUUAUGCAACGAGUAAUUUUGGACGGAGGAAGUAUAUA
rfam:Hordeum vulgare subsp. vulgare, WGS project CAJW01000000 data, contig: morex_contig_65224